GGUCCCAUCGUCUAGCGGUCAGGACGCCGGCCUCUCACGCCGGAAACCGGGGUUCGAUUCCCCGUGGGACUACCA
rnacentral:tRNA from 1 species